rnacentral:lncRNA from 1 species
GAUGCAGCGGUGAGGAGUUGGUUUUGUCUGCUGAGUUGAAGGGUCUCUCGACAGAUGAUGCUUUGGGUUAGUGAUGAUGGAUUGUGCCAGAUAUGGUUCGGCUUGGCGAUAGUAGUGGAGUGUUGCUGCCUCUUUACUUUUCGUCGUCCGCCUUCUUCUUGAUGACCUAUAUAUGAUUCUGUCUAGGGUUCGUCAAAGCUUAUCCUCUCUUUUAGAGCAAAUCGGCGUUG